AACGUUUUUGGUUUCAUUCUUCUGUAGGUAUCACGAUCAACGUGGCUACGCACCAGGGACCACAUUUCGAUGCACAUCACAUUUAGCCAGAAGAAGCAUGCGACGAAGGAGAACUGGAUGACGAAUGCUAGAAAAAAUUGUCUUCUUACCUAUACUGGUACAAGUUUCGCUCGAUAGAUGCAAGCUUCCCAAUUGCGUGAUUGCUAAAGUGAUAAAAGCCAAUGCUAAACAACCACAGUAACGACACAAUGCUUUUCCAAAAACGUCCCUUAAUUUUGGAGUGAUGGAAUACGCCAGAAUGUUGUCAGGUAAAUUAUAUAAGGCGUCGAUCGAGUGUAAAGGAUUUAAGGUGUUCUUGUUUAGUUACCUUCAGAAAAGCACGCAAAAGUUUUGAGUCCUAAUUUCGGAACAAUUUCCAUGCAAUAAUCAACCCCAGGAUUCAUCAUCAUCAUCUGCUCUUGAUAAGUUCCACUGGAAGUAAUAUAUUUCUGUGAAGACUAUGCACCUUUCAAAAGAAGAUAAUCUUGUUUCGUGAAUUUCACAAAGACUAGCAUUGAAGCCGGAAGGAUGUUGAAGGUCUCCUGGUAUAGAUUCAACCGGGUAAAUGAAAUUCCAAAGCUCUAUCAGAUAUACAAGAUCUCCUUUCCUGAUUAUUUUCCUGCUAUCGAUUAAAGACUGAACGCUUAAGAAACCUUCGUCUGCAAACAAGUUAAGGGACCAAGUAGAAAAGGAUCGACUUUAUCUCGAAAAGAAAGUUUGAUAAAUGAACAGUUGUUGACCUAUAAUUCUUGCUGUUUCAUCGAAGAAAGUACUAAAAAGUAUACCGGUUUUUUCGUUCGCUUUCAUUCAAGAAAUUAUUAAGACCUUCAUCAAUCACACAGAAUUCAAAGGACACCUUUAGAAAAAGAAACAAGGCCAUUUUAUUAAAACAUACCUAUUGACAAUUGUUUACCAUCCAGAUCAAUUUAUUCAGACAUAAUUAACAUUGGUACCCUAUGGUAAUUGGCACUAUUAGAGGAACAGGUAAAAACUAUACGAAGGCAAAGUUUAACACGAAUUUUCAAAGACACGAAAACAGACCGUCCAACGGUAUAAAUAAUUUUCGUACAACUUUGAAUCACGUUCACUGAAGAAGACACUGGAUCACGUAACGGAGAAUGGAUCUUGAUGAUGUUCACGUGGUUCACAGAUCGGCGUCCGGGACCAUACUGACCGCACUCUUCGAACCAGCAAGCCUUUAUCUAUCGGUGCACGAUUACUCGUAUGAUGCAUACACCGCCAGAGAUUCAGCCAGGUGUCGUAAUUAUAACACUUCCGUUAGAUAUUUUCUUCAAUCUGCUUUCCAAAGCAAGGGCAGUACUUAAAAUAAGAAGAGGAAUAAAAAAUGUAAGGAUUGUCAUGAUCGUUAUCACAGCCUACUCAUUAAUUUAUCGAUGAUCAGUGAUUUCUUGUAUUGACUUAUUAAUGAUGUCAUUAACUAUAUGGGUGUGUCACAGGAAUACCCUCUAUAAUUAUUACUAUGAAAAUGGACGAAUUGGAUAUUCCAAAAUUGGUGUAAUAAUCAGACACAAAUGGCUGAUUUUCUAAACUUGAGACUUGAAUUUAUUAAUUUUUGGAAUUAUUGUAAUUGUGAUGUUAUUCAAAAUUUGUCUUCCAUUUUUUCUUAUUAAUUAUUCAAUUACAUUGCAUUUGAAGCUUUGGUCAUCGGUAACAACCAACUUAAAAUAAAAUAGUAUCGUUGAACAAAUUUUUCGAUGAUCUGAAUGUACGAAUGAUACAAUUAAGUUCUUCUGCAUUUAUAUAGAUCCUCGAACGAUCUAUGCAAUUCGUUCAUUGAGAAAAUAUGAGAAUAAUGUCACGAAUCGUCUGUCCAUUGAUCGCACGGUAAUAUGUUGCCGUUUUGCAAUUUCCCUGUCCACCUUCAUAAAAAAAUACCAUCGAACUGAUAUCGAAAUAAUGACGUAAUAUCGGGAAAAUUUUUCCGCUAUCGGUGAUGAUAUGACGUAGGCGUGAGUUAUAACCGCGAAUACAGUUGCUCGUCACGAAGAAGCUUCAAUUUUGAACUUACAAAUACCUUUCUGCGAAUUGUAAGUUUCGCCGAUCCGUUUCUACGAACUGAUUGCACCGUCGAUCCACUGUACGCGCAGAUUUUCCUUCAUUUUCGUGAUAUUUGCAGUUUGCAAAUCCGCGGGGUGCAUCUCGAGCCGUGCCAAUUCUAAUUUCAGCAAAAUCGCGGACACUUGCAAGACAUUUACUCCUUAUGGAGUACUCUUCAACCCUAGAAAGUCAGAAUUCAGAUUUCAUUUUUGCUUCCGACAAAAGUCAACAUUCCGUACAUUUUUCCUUUAUUUCUCACAAUGGUAAUUAUAAUUCUUACAUGAAAAUUCCAGACCGAGUACGUACGUAAUACGAUCACGUACCGUGAUUUUCGAAGUUUACGUUACGUUACAGAGGUUAAUCACCAACGAUAAAUUUAGAAAGGUAGCAGAAGCAGAAAAAUAUUAUCUUUGACUUCAUCCAGUCCAAAUAUAAGAUGAAAAAUUCGUCAGUUCAUUUGAUCGACUUUAAUGACCAAUGCGAUACACGAAGAUAAUGAAAAAGGAAAAAUCCUUGAAAAGCAUAAGUUUCAGGCAGUGAAUCACGUGCAGUCUAGAAACGUGAUCGAUCGGUUGGGUACUUCUCGACUUUGACAGUUAUCAUCGAACCGUUGAAGAAGACGGACGUCGUCAGGUGCAAUUAAAUUCCUAAGUGGCUCGUCAAUUCUACGUAAAAUACGCGAUGUUCACGGUGAAAACAAUUUCUGACGUCAAUGUAUAUGUAUUCAGAAGAAAGUUGAAUACAUACACUGAUAAAACAGACAUUGCCGGAGAAACAAUCCCAAAAAGGCGAUGUGUUCUUCUGAAAUUAUCCUGUAGGCUCUUUUUUUAUCAUUUUUCUUCUUAGGCUUCCCUUAGUUAAAUAGAUGUACAUUAAGGGGUAGGAAUAUCUAGGCAAGGAUCUCCCUAUCUUCACCCAGGGUUCUCCAUUUCUCUAUUGCAGCUACAACUUUUUUUUAUAUAAAGCACAACUUUCCCCUGUUGGUUGUGAAAAGUUGGGUCUAAUUAGACCCAGUCGAGGGCUUCUGAGAAUCAAAGAACCUCGAUAAGACUGAACAGAAGAUUCGAAGUACAAUCUCGUUAUGCGGUUCCGCGGAUAAUAGAAUUUACGAUAUUACUAUUGUGGUAUUAUUGUAGAAUGUUGAUUCAUCGAACACUCUAAAUACUUUGGAAAUUUCAGCUUCUUCCUCGAAGUCGAAUGAAAUUUAGAUUUAGAGAUUGACGCAACGAACGUCUCUACGGCGAGCUUACGUUGGCCUCAACGAAAUCGAACAAGAGAACGGCACCGGAUAGCUUGGACCAGAGAAAAUCCAAUGACGUCUUGGAUCGUGUAGGCGUGCUAAACCCAGAAGAGGGUUUUACCAGGCCACCUGUAGCGAUCAGGAAGUAGCAACCAACAGUCAGACGAAUGUGCGUAUUUCUUUGUGUUUUUACUGGCAGUUGUGUACCUGCCAACGAUGU